rnacentral:rRNA from 1 species
CCUACGGGAGGCAGCAGUGAGGAAUAUUGGUCAAUGGGCGGGAGCCUGAACCAGCCAAGUCGCGUGAGGGAAGACGGUCCUAUGGAUUGUAAACCUCUUUAGGCGGGGAGCAAUGCCGGGCACGCGUGCCCGGAGGGAGAGUACCCGCAGAAUAAGCAUCGGCUAACUCCGUGCCAGCAGCCGCGGUAAUACGGAGGAUGCGAGCGUUAUCCGGAUUUAUUGGGUUUAACGGGUGCGUAGGCGGAUUUUUAAGUCAGCGGUAAAAUGUCCGGGCUCAACCCGGGCCGGCCGUUGAAACUGGGGAGCUUGAGUGGGCGAGAAGUAUGCGGAAUGCGUGGUGUAGCGGUGAAAUGCAUAGAUAUCACGCAGAACUCCGAUUGCGAAGGCAGCAUACCGGCGCCCGACUGACGCUGAGGCACGAAAGCGUGGGGAUCGAACAGGAUUAGAUACCCCAGUAGUC